UACGUAGGGCGCAAGCGUUGUCCGGAAUUAUUGGGCGUAAAGAGCUCGUAGGCGGUUUGUCGCGUCUGCUGUGAAAACCUAAGGCUCAACCUCGGGCCUGCGGUGGGUACGGGCAGACUAGAGUGCGGUAGGGGAGAUUGGAAUUCCUGGUGUAGCGGUGGAAUGCGCAGAUAUCAGGAGGAACACCAAUGGCGAAGGCAGAUCUCUGGGCCGUAACUGACGCUGAGGAGCGAAAGCAUGGGGAGCGAACAGG
rnacentral:rRNA from 1 species